GGAUCACUUAAGCCCAGGAAUUCAAGACUGUGAGCCACGUGAGCCAUGAUUGUACCACUGAACUCCAGCCUGGGUGAUAGUGCAAGACUCUGUCUCAAAAAGAAAAUGAAAGAAUAUUAGAAUCAUUAGUGGGACAACAUCAUGGAAAUUCCUCCACAAUUAUUGCAAAUAUUGCUAAUACCAAUCUCUUACAAUUUUAGGGAAUACUUUUUCUUUUCAUAAAUUCUGACUUCACAAUCCAGUAACUACUCUUUUUGUCCUCAUCCAAAUUUACUAACUCACUUAGUAUCUCAUUUUAUUUUGAAAGAAUAAUUUUUAACUUUAUUGAUGAAUUUCAGUAAUCAAUAAAAUUUAACUAUUAAUAAUUACCUCAGCACCAUUUUAUAGGACUCUAUAGUUUUUUGGCAUUUUAUGUGUAUUAUGACUUAAUAUGCAAAAUGAUGUCAUAUUAAAAAUGGCAUUUAAUGUAAUUUCCAUCAUAUAAAUAUUAAAGGUGAGGUUAAGUGAUUUAUUUAAUGUAAUUUCCAUCAUAUAAAUAUUAAAGAUGAGAUUAAUUGAUUUACUUAGGGUCAGACAUCCUGUAAAUAGAGAGCACCUUACAAAUCUAAAUUUUGUGAAUUAAGGUUUAGGCCUUUUUUAUUAUACCAAAGCUAACCUUCUGUUUUUUUCCUGCUUAUCCUCCUCUAAUUUUUUUCUCACCAUUAUUAGUACUGACUGGUAAAGGAAUCUUCCCUUCAAAACCUCAUGUUAAUUUUCUAUUAUCCUUUGCUACUUAAAAAAUUAAAAACUCAGCACCUACAUUUACUUAGCACUCCAAAAGUAAGUUUAUUGGUUAAAUACUGGCUGUGCACCAAGCAUUGAAAUAAUUGUUUUACAUUCAUUAUCUCUUUUAAUUUAAUGCUUAUUAUAACCAAGUAAAGUAGGUAAUAUCUUGUUGAGAAUUAAGGGCUAAGUAACUUGGUUGCUAUAAAAUAGCGGGAAGAAUUGUCUCAAUCAGGGUUAGCUGACUCUAAAGCUGAUGAUCUUGCAGGCUACCUGGUGCUGUCUCCCAAUUUAGCAGAUACAGACAUCUAUGUUUGCCCCAUCAUAAGUUUUUCACACAGUAUGUUGUAUAGCAGUAACAUCAGUAUUUCCUAUAUCUUUCUCAUAUUUUUAAAAAAACCUCUUUUGUCCAAAUCUCUACUUUAUAAAAAAAAUCACUGCUUUCUACUCUGUUUCUUUAGUUUCCAAUUUUGUGCCAGGGAGUUGACAUUCUUGAACUCUUCAGAAGAAUAAUUACAUUCAUGUAAUAAGCAAAUGUGAUACUGUACCCCUUCCCCACCACCACUUUAACGUGUGUCUUAACCGACUAACAAUUGGUUUGCAAAGGUCAAAAAAUUGAGGAAGACAUAAUUAGCAGCUGAAGAAUGACUCAGAUCAUCAGUAGUGAAUAAGAAUGAUUAGGGGGAAAUGUAAGUGACAGGAACAAUGCCCUGAAGCAGUGGGGAGAAAGAAGUACUGAACAUUGCCUGAGUUCCAUGUGUGAAGAAUAUUCUGUUUUGUUGUUGUUGUUAUUCUCAUGGGAAAAUUCUACUGAUAGAGUUGUGUCAAAAAUUUUAAAGUUUUUAAGCCAUUCCUAUAAUCUUGGCAAUUAGACCAGUUGAAUAUGAUUUUUUUUCUUUUUCCAAAAUAAUAGUCAUGCAAUAGUUUAUGAGUGUUAUUAUCUGGCAUCAUGCUAACAGUUAGUGCAAUUCUUCCUGGAAGGAAGACCUAUAGAGAUUAAACAAUGUUUAGGCCCCAGUAAGUUAAAUUAUUCCCUUUCCGACAGACACCCUAUAUGGAGAAGGCAAAUUAAAAAGGAAGUAAGGUAGCUAUUAGUUGAUAUCCAAUUUUCUUCAAAUCUUCUAAAGUGUGUUUUCAUAUUUUCUGGAGAUGUGUGGGAAAAUUGAGCUCUGACUCAGAUCCAACUCAAAGCCUGUGCAAGCAUGAGAGGCUAAGUAGUUUCCUGCGAAGCUCUGCACUACCAACCUCUGUUUAAUUUGUUUUCUUAUGUUAUAUCUCAGAGUACAAUAUUAUUAUGAUUUGGCAGAAAACCUUGAUCUGUUAGUAAUUAGGCAUACCACUAAAGUGAACAUGGGUUGGUUGCCAGGCAAUUGUUCUGCAUUUCACAAUGACUUGUAUACUCAAGAGAAUAAAUUAUAUCCAAGCAGGGACCACAAAACAGGGGUUUCUGACAGGCUAGGGUAGAAGGUGAAAACACACACACACAGACACACACACACACACAUCAGAAUAGCAAAAACAAAUCCCAAAGGAGCAUUUCAUUGAGGUUCUCUGAAAUCUUAUGAACACUGGCCCUAGUUUGACUGGAUAGGAAGAUGCAAGACAGUGAGAACUAUUGAAGAAGGGUUUCUUUAGCAUGGAUUAGUGGUCAGGUGCAUGCUGAUCCUAGGGUGAUGAUGAUAAAUUUUAAUGAAGAAAAUUUUCUGAAACCCCUUUAGUAACACAAUGUCAAUAGGCACUGUCUACUAGUGAACAAGAAUGAGAGAGUCUCUAAAUUUAAAUUUGGUGAAACAGUAAAGUCAUAAUUUUGAUAAGUGAGAAUUGCUGUUAAAGGUAAAGGUAGUGUGAGGUCAAAAAUAGAUAUUCAAAAAAUUUAGAAAGAGAAACUCCAAAAACACACUUAUUGGAAGUGUUAAACUUAGGCAAUAAGUAUAUGAUAGGAUCCAAGAUUGUAGUCUAGCCUCCACUACUGAAAACCUACAAAAAACCUUUAAAAUGCAUUAUGUCAUUUAGUAUUUACAGUAAUCUUGAAAACAGGUAAGACCAUUAUAAUUUCCAUUUUAUUGAAUUUUACUUUUUUAACACCAGGGAACAUGUGUUUAAUACAUGAAGGAACGUGUCAGAGAGAUUAAGAACUUGCCCAUGGUGACACAGCAGGUGAUAAAUUCUCAAAUUCAAGUUUUCUUCAGUAUUCUUUCCACAAACUAAAGGGAAAUAGCCAACUUUAAUUCUUUCCUGAAGGCAGAAAAGAAGCUCUUACCAACUUGUGACAUUGUAUCAUAGGUUGAUACAUUUUCAUUCCUUGCCUGUGCUCACACAGAUAGAGGAGAAUGCUACAGUAAAGGAAACAUUUAGGAAGAGAGUGCUUUGUGUAUUUUUUUUAAGUAGGCCAUCCACUGUGAUAGUAAUUCUGUUUAUUCCAAAUGUGAGAUGAAAGUUAAUCUGUUCCCUAAAAGCAUUUCUAAGGGAAAGAAUAAGUUAUUCAAAGGCAUGAAAGACAAAAUGUUUGGAGCUCUUACUUGCUGUCUCCCCUUCAAAGCAACUGAGAAAGAUGUUUGGAUGAAGGGGAGAGAGAGGAGAGAGAAAGAGCUAGAGGGAGAGAAGUUUGUGUGUGUGUGUGUGUGUGUGUGUGUGUGUGUGUGUGUGUGUGUGUAAGUAAUGAGAAAAAAUCAUUAGACCAGAAGUUUAUAAACUGAAAGUUUUAUGAAAAGUUUUUUUUUUAAAUUUUGAAAUUUAUUGAAACAAUUCCCCUUUUUAUUGAUUAAGGCUGGAGGGAUGGGGCUUGGUGGAUUUAGUUUAGAGUUUCAAAUUCACAUAUUUUCUAAUGAAACAAAAACUCAGAAUGAAACUUGAUGCAUACAAUCUGGAAUGAGUGAAACAUUUUGCUCUAAACUAUUUCAUGAAAAGAAAAAUUUCAUAUAAUUCUGGUAAAUAAUAAUGUUCUCCAACAAGGCUGCUUACCGAGCAAUAAUGCUUAUUGCAUAUCCAAUAUCUUUAGAAAAAGGGCAAAUGUAGAAUGUAUUUAUUAUAGAAUCAUUAGCUUUUUGAAACAAUAAUUACUUUACUUGGUAGCAUACAUUUUUACUUUUGAGAGACUUAUUGAUGGGAGCCAAUGGGAAAGAUGUGAAUUUUUGUAGUAAUUUAUAAAAUUCAAAAUCAUAGCUGUGGGGUGACCAAGGAAAUAGUUAUAGUUCCCACUUUUAGUUGGGACUUUUGAAUUGCUUUGCUCCUGAAAGGUAUGUGCCAUGAAUUGAGAGGAGGGAGGAGCUUACCAAAGAAUUUGAGAUGAAUAAAAUCUAACCUAGUCAGGACACAUUUACAGAAUUUUUUUUGUUAAAAAAAACUGUAGAAAUGAAGGCUUGUUAUUCUCAUUUCCAUUACAUAAAUGGUUGCUCAAAUGUGAAUUUCUAAUUUAUCAUAGUUUAUGGUGAUACAUUAAGAGACUAAUGUGUCAUUUGUGUUUUGAUUUCUACAUUCUAGAGAGACAGUUUAAUCAGUCCGUGACCAAAAUCAAACAGAGUAAACUGUGUCAUCAUGGAGAUCUGCCCAGGAAAUCCCCAAAAUACAGAAGGAUCAGAAGUAGAUGGAAAUAAUGUCAUAGAACGUCUCUCACAACUGUGUUAUAAGAAUGACAGGGAAGCUACAGGUUACAACAGAUUUGUGAACUCAGCCAAGCACAGUGGUGGCAGGGCCUAGCUGCUACAAAGAAGACAUGUUUUAGACAAAUACUCAUGUGUAUGGGCAAAAAACUCGAGGACUGUAUUUGUGACUAAUUGUGUAACAGGGUAUUUUAGUUCCUGUUCUGUGGAAAGUGUAAAGCAUUCCAACAAAGGGUUUUAAUGUAGAUUUUUUUUUGCACCCAUGCUUUGAUUGCUAAAUGUAAUAGUCAGAUCGUGACGCUGAAUAAAUGUCUUUUUCUAAAAAAAAA
rnacentral:lncRNA from 1 species